ACAAGCCUGAGAAACGGCUAGUAGGACUAGGUCUGCAGCAGGCGCGAAACUUACACAAUGCUAGAUUAAAAUUAGCGAUGUAGUGAAGAAAAAUAACGAUGUACUUCCAUUUAAACAUGGUAGUACAAUUGGAAUGAGACGACUCUAAACCAGUCAGUCGAGUAACAAAUGGAGGGCAAGUCUGGUGCCAGCAGCCGCGGUAAUUCCAGCUCCAUUAGCAUACAUUAAAGUUGUUGCGGUUAAAAAGCUCGUAGUUGAAUUUUAGGCGAGCUCUAUUGGGAUGCAACCGUUAAGGUCCCAAGCUAUCUUCGGAUGCCUGUGGGCUGGUUGUAUUUUCCCUAUAGGAACUCGCUGUUUCGUCACUUAUUCGAGUGCGAAGCGGGCUGGAACGAUGGUCCAUCUCCGGAUGGCCUUGUUACAGCAAGUUUACCUUGAGAAAAUUAGAGUGCUCACAGCAGGCAGUUGGGGUGUAAAAGCUCCUUUAUGCUUGAAUAAUGUUGCAUGGAAUAAUAGAAUACGGCCUCGGUUCUAUUCUGUUGGUCUUAUAGAACAACAAAUAAGUUGGUUAAGGCGAUCAAAAGUCCGUUUGUGAGUGUGGUUUCAGGUGACUUCCUAUGUCGUUGGUAGCUCUUUUAUGCGAGCUUGGUUUGAAUUAUGUUGCCUGAGGCCUUAAAAUCUCAGAGCCGUGUUCUACCAGGCCUCCUUACUAUCUUCCAUCACUAGUUUGUUCGCUUGUUGCCAUCAAAGCACUCCUUAUUGGGCUAGCUUUUAGUCAACUGAGGCAAUGGUUAAAAGAAAUAGUCGCGGCGGCAUCAGUACUGCAUCGUGAGAG
rnacentral:rRNA from 1 species